rnacentral:tRNA from 1 species
GCCGAGGUCGCAUAAUCCGGUAGUGCACCAGCCUUGAGAGCUGGCUUCCUUCGGGAUAUCUGGGUUCAAAUCCCAGCCUCGGCG